GACGAACGCUGGCGGCGUGCUUAACACAUGCAAGUCGUACGGUAAGGCCCUUUCGGGGGUACACGAGUGGCGAACGGGUGAGUAACACGUGAGUAACCUGCCCACAACUUUGGGAUAACGCUAGGAAACUGGUGCUAAUACUGGAUAUGUGCUCCUGCUGCAUGGUGGGGGUUGGAAAGCUCCGGCGGUUGUGGAUGGACUCGCGGCCUAUCAGCUUGUUGGUGGGGUAGUGGCCUACCAAGGCGGCGACGGGUAGCCGGCCUGAGAGGGUGACCGGCCACAUUGGGACUGGGAUACGGCCCCGACGCCUACGGGAGGCAGCAGUGGGGGAUAUUGCACAAUGGGCGCGAGCCUGAUGCAGCAACGCCGCGGGCGGGAUGACGGCCUUCGGGUUGUAAACCGCUUUCAGCAGGGACGAAGCUUUUUGUGACGGUACCUGCAGAAGAAGCACCGGCUAACUACGUG
rnacentral:rRNA from 1 species